CACGAGCGCGGGGCGGGUCGCGUGCGCGUGCGCACAUCGGAACGCGAAGUAGGGGUAGCGGGGCGCCCCGAGGAGGCCGCGACCUUAGCGGGCGGCUCGGGAGGCCGCGAGGCGGUGAGGUGGGCGGGGCCUGGCCCCGUGACGUCGCGGGGAGAGCCCCACCCCUCCCCCCGCGCGGUUCCAACGGCCGUUGCCGCCCGUUGCUUCUGGGGGUUUCAACUUGUGGUACUUGCGGAGGAUGAAGAGAAGGUCACCAUGAGUGCGGAGUGCGGGCGGGUUUCUUUUUUAAGUCAAGGGGAGCAAGGUGCUAAGCCCCUUCUUCAAGGCUGCUGGAUUUAAAGGAAUUAUUUAAGAGAAGCUGGAGAAUAAAGUGAUAGAAAUAGCACAGUUAGCAAAAGGAUGCUAAAAUCCUACAAACUUGAUAAAAAGAGCAUUAUUGAAGGUGCCACCCUAAAGAACUGAAGAGGAAUCAAAAGCACACCUGGAUCUUAGAUAUCAUAUGCAACCAUCAUCUGCUUUCUGUCCUUGACAAUGAAGAGCUCUUAAAAGAAAAAGUCUAGUGUAAUAAUGUCCAGUGGUCAAAAGUGGGUUUUUGGACAGAGUAAAGGAAGCUGUUCAGCUGUACUUCAAAGAGGUGCAGUGUGACAGUCGAAGAAUUUGAUCCUUGCAGAGGAAGGAGGACCUUAGAGUUCUUCCUGUAUCUACUGUUCCUGUGGCUUUGUAGGGUUUUGGAAGAAGCUUAAAAAUGAAAAUUAAGGGCUCAGGAAUUGAAAGACAAAUAAAAGGUCCUUUCUGGGAAACAGCUGAAGAAGCUCUCAUUCAAGUAACCAGCUAAAAAAGAAUAAAUAGCCAUUUGAUGUUUCCAUCUCUCUAAUCUCUAUUUAGCUCCUAGCUUCUUAAGAUAUUAAUUGAACCGAUAGUAGUUGUGUUGGUGAAUUUUAAGUAGCACCAAUAUUAAUCUCUUAGCACACUGAAAAUAGCAAUUUAAGCUUAUUCUUUUUGUCCUUUGUGCAAAGCCAUUGUUAAUCCACGAGAUGGCUUUCCACUGGAGUUUCCUUAAUGGCUUUCUUGUCUUCGAAGGGCUUUGCAAACAAGAUUUACUAUUUUUAAAAGUAUUGUAUUUGGUGAUUUGUUUUCUGUUCACACUACACAGGAAUCCUAUACAGUUUAGGAAGCACAACACAGCAGCAGAACUGUCCUGUCCUUAUCUCUGAGUUUUCUUAACUGUUUUUGUAACCACCAAAUUAAUUCCUACUGCUCAUCCUUAGCUACUAUACUGGCACUUGCAGCCCUCUCAGGCUAACUGCUAAUAACAAAUUGCAUGUUUUCUAUAGCUUACCGGCUUCAUUCUAGAGUUCUUUAAAGUCCUAAAGGGAAUACUGAAACCCAUCCUGCCUAAACCAGGUUUUAUUGCAAUUUAAUACAGUCUCCAUUGACUCUCCAGGUCUUUUAAACAUUCCUGGAUCUUAGAAAAUGAUUAGAAAAAUGAAGAGUUGAAAACAUAAGCCAGAAUAGGUCCCACAUAGGAAUACAGGUCUGAGAAGGACCUGGUGAGUGUAGGAGUAUGGAGGCUUUGGGAAUGUGCUGUGCACACACAAAGAGACUCCACAGUUCACAUGCAUCACAUCUGUUUCUAGGUGUGCAGUGGUGUUGAUGUGAUUGGCUUUAGACUCCCUCCAGGCUAGCAGAGGGUCCUUUUUUUUUUUUUUUUUUUUUUUACCAGGAAGCAUAGAGGUGCCUGUGAGGGCAUGCAAAGGAAAUUCUUGAAUCACUGACUCUAAUUCUUGCCUAACUGUGUCAUAAUUCCUUUCAUAAACUAGUCAGGUCCAGUCUUAAGCAGUCUUGUUUUUUGAUCCUCAACUUUUAUACUGAAUAUUAAAUCUCCUUGCUGCGACUAUCAGAAAUCUUCUGAUUUCCAGCCUAAGUUUAUUCCCAUUAGUCUACAGAGCUUAUUCUUGAACUGUUUUGGCACUUAAUGAACUAGCUCCUUCAUUAACCAGUGUUUAUCCCACUGAUGAGUUUCUCAGAAAAAAAUCAUGUUUCCACAGCCUGUAGGCUCACCAGGAUAAGGUGUUCUUGUCCUCUCUUUUCAAAUAGGCUGCACAUAUCCUGGGCCACCCUAGCUGCUCUUCUCUUUACCUGCUGCUGUUUGAAUUUAUCUUUGUUCUCCAGGAAAGGACAUAUAAGUUGUAUUGAAGUACUUUUUAUUUGUUACUCUGUUCUUCAAGACUGAAGGAAUGUGUCAAUUGUAGAAAUAAAAAGAAUUGAAACCAUAGAA